AUGGAUUGGAAAAUUUUACUUACUGUUGCCCUUGGACUUGCUGUUCUGCACAUUUCAGGGAGGACUAGCAGUCCCUUUUAACUUAACCAAGAGGAGUGAGCCAUAGAAACAUGCAUUGCAUAUGCAUACCAAAACUAAAUUACUGCCCAACACCUAAAAUCCUCAUCGUUUGGCCCAAUUUCCACCCCAAAGCUAAGCUACAAUUUGGUAUAUAUGAUCAUCAUUCAUUCAUCAAUGAUGCAAUGGGUUCGGACCGGUUGGUACGAGGCGCUUUUCAAUGCCGUAGCGCGGAUCAACCUCGUUAUCGGCCGGCUUGGAUUGUUUCUUGGCAUGAUCUGGUGCUUGAUCUUGAUGCUUCUGAAACGGAGUGAAGUCAAAUUUGGCAGCAGCAACAGCUUUUCUAGUGAUGAAAGGAUUACGAUGAGAAGAAAGCAAGGAAAAGGUUGUGGGGUUGGGUUGUUUGCCACUGGUAUUGGUAUUGAAAUUGAAGUUGAGAAUGUUUUGGAAUUCAUGAAGCCAUAACAAGAGAAGAGAGAGCCAAAGAAUGGUGAAGAUGAGCAUGUGGGAUACUUUCCAAGCCAUGCAUGGAGAAUUUUGAGGUAGCACAAGGGACUGAAGGGGAAGCAUGCAUGGAGCAAAAAGUAAGGAAAACCCCAAGGAAGAGAUUUUAAUUGUAUAUGUAUCAGCCAAAAUAUAGUGAAUGGGAAUGGGAAGUGGAAGCUGGAGGAAAUGAAGGUUGAAAAACUGUGGAUUUGGUCUUUGAAUUCUAAUUUAUUGGACAAGAUACAAGGGAGAUUGGAGAGGGAGGGGGAAACACCCUUUCCCAAUGAAAGUUUUCUUAGAAAUCAAGGGAAAAAAAGGGUCAUUAAUUAAUUAUUAGUAAAAGAUUGUCAAACCUUGAAUGAUAUCAAGUUUGAUAAUGGUUAUUAUUACAAGAUCUUUGAGGCAAAGGAGUUAAUAAUGAAAUAUAUUUAUUUAUUAUUAAA